CUUCAGUGAUGAUACGAUGACGAGUCGGAUCGGGGCCCAGCUCUGAGGACUCUGGGUCAGGGUCACGUUCUGUGCCACUGGUUUCAGUACCUCAGAGCCGUGUGUUCUCUUAGAUUGAAGAUGUAGAGGCAUUUGUCUGAGAAGG